CCUGUUAAAUGUGUGCUGGUUGAACAGUUUUAGCUUAAUGAAAAUACUUGUCCUUGAGCACAAUGUGUGUGUUUUCUCAAUGUAUGUAUCUAUAUCCAGCAUAAUUAUGUGUUGCACUGCCUGCUCCCUCUGCUGGUAGCUGGUAAGAUAAUGGAACCUUAAACUAAUACUAAACUAAAAAUGUGAUGAUGAGAAGAAUUGUAACAUUUACAUGUCUCCACCCUCAAUCUGCCUUUAGUGAUAGCAGAGGAUGGCGAGCAAGUG